UGAGGAAUGUUUUUGGAUGAUGUGCUCUCAGAUCUGCUCUGCAGCAAUUCCCCAAAUAAUUCUAGGAGAGCAGGCCAGGGCAGAAUGGAACUCCAAGAGGUAACAGAGGGUCACUGUCACUUGUCUCCUUUUAGUUUGCUUAUUCUUUAAAGAAUGGCCCAGCUAACUAUUGACAACACAAGCAAAGAUUGCUCUAGCUUGUUCCCUGCCAGACCACUCAGCUUACAUGAAUGUGUGACCCACAGUUCUGCAGGGCUUACAGCUCGGACAGUGUCAGGUGGGGAGCCACAUUAGAGCAGUAUACCUGUCAAACCAAAAUGCAGUGUCUGACAGUGAGUCCAGAGAAGAUGGGAAUCUCCUGCAGAGCAGAAGGGCAAAAGCUCACCUGAUCUUGAUUUUCGGAUUUUUUGUGAGAGGGGCCUUAUGAUACUUCUGACUUUUUGUUUAGUAAGCAGGAGGUGUCAUAAAAGUUACCACAGGGAUGACAGGGAGGCCAAGCGUUUGUAAUGACACAAAAUUGAAGAUUUAAAGUUUAAAAUUGCUUUGUCAUCUUUGUGUCUGCUCUUCUUUCAGUGUAAGGCAGAAUUCACUGAGCUCUGGAUUGUUCCCCUGCUAAAAGGGAAUGUGACCUGGCUUUUGGCUGUUGUAAGAAAGGUUAGUU
rnacentral:ncRNA from 1 species